rnacentral:tRNA from 1 species
GAGGGUAUAGUGCAGUUGUAGAGUGCGUGCUUAACAUGCACGAGGUCCUGGGUUUGAUCCCCAGUACUUUCG